rnacentral:lncRNA from 1 species
CUGGUUCCAAGGGGGUAUAUUAACCGUCUGGUGUUGAAUACAGGUGUCUCCCUACACACAUGCAUUUUGGAAGGAGAGGAGUUAGAGCUUUCACCAGAUUCUCAAAGGGGCCCAUGACUCCAACCUCUGGCCCUAGUUGGCCUGGCCCAGGAGCUGGGGAUACAGCCCUAGUCAUAUCAACAUCCCUGGGCCAUCCUCGCUGUCCAGGGUCUCUCUUCUAUUCAAGGAUGUGCCCAGGUCGGUAGCAGUAUCCUGUUUCCCUUGUCCUGGCCCUUCCAGCUGCAGAAAGUGGACAGCGGGUUUCACACCCAGCCCUGCUGCACACGCUCCAGCUUCCUGGAGACCCGAGCCAGGUUUCUCCCAGCAGCACCUCUCCAUCCCAGAGAUGGCACCAUAUUCAAACUGAGGUACCAGUGGCACUGACCCCCAACAACAGAGAGGACCCAGCUUCACACUUGAUCCAGCAGGGGCCCAACCACAUGGAGCAGAAAAAUGCAUCUGCAAACCUGGAGAUUUCCAUUUGCACUCGCCUAUGGAUUGCUCAUAAUUUUUUUUUUUUUGAGACGGAGUUUCGCUCUGUCACCCAGGCUGGAGUGCAGUGGCACGAUCUCAACUCACUGCAACCUCCGCCUCCCAGGUUCAAGCAAUUCUCCUGCCUACGCCUCCUGAGUAGCUGGGGUUACAGGUGGGUGCCACCACGCCCGGCUAGUAAAAUUUUUAAAUACAUUAUUAUUAUAGUCAUUAAUAAAACCAGUUGCUCUAAUGGACACUCUUCCUUGAAGCACACUUUUCUUGGGCUUUGCUAACAUACUCCUCCUUUUGGGUCUGUCCUUCUGGAAGCUUUUUCUCAGACCCCUUCCCUGCCUCUCACAACUUCCCCACCCCCAGACACCUCCACCCACUCCCACCACUGCCUCUGAGCCCCCAGGGCUCCAGCCCCUCACACCAGCCGCCUACAGAGGGCCACCUGUGAGUCUCCCAGACACCUAAAACUCAAGGAGGCUAAAGGCGACUGAGACCGCUUCCCUACCUAAGCC